rnacentral:rRNA from 1 species
UACGUAGGGUGCAAGCGUUAAUCGGAAUUACUGGGCGUAAAGAGCUCGUAGGCGGUUUGUUGCGUCGGCUGUGAAAUCCCGAGGCUCAACCUCGGGUCUGCAGUCGAUACGAGCAAACUAGAGUGUUGCAGGGGAGACUGGAAUUCCUGGUGUAGCGGUGAAAUGCGCAGAUAUCAGGAGGAACACCGGUGGCGAAGGCGGGUCUCUGGGCAACAACUGACGCUGAGGAGCGAAAGCGUGGGGAGCGAACGGG